CAGGAAAACUAGUUUGUUUUCCUGACACUAUAGUGAUCCUUUAACUGCAUGGAACAUUAGUGCCAGGUAAACAAACUUGUUUUCCUGGCACUAU